AUUGAACGCUGGCGGCAGGCUUAACACAUGCAAGUCGAGCGGGGGAAGGUAGCUUGCUACUGGACCUAGCGGCGGACGGGUGAGUAAUGCUUAGGAAUCUGCCUAUUAGUGGGGGACAACACCCCGAAAGGGAUGAUAAUAACGCAUACGUCCUAUGGGAGAAAGCAGGGGAUCUUCGGUCCUUGCGCUAAUAGAUGAGCCUAAGUCGGAUUAGCUAGUUGGUGGGGUAAAGGCCUACCAAGGCGACGAUCUGUAGCGGGUCUGAGAGGAUGAUCCGCCACACUGGGACUGAGACACGGCCCAGACUCCUACGGGAGGCAGCAGUGGGGAAUAUUGGACAAUGGGGGGAACCCUGAUCCAGCCAUGCCGCGUGUGUGAAGAAGGCCUCAUGGUUGUAAAGCACUUUAAGCGAGGAGGAGGCUACUCUAGUUAAUACCUAGGGAUAGUGGACGUUACUCGCAGAAUAAGCACCGGCUAACUCUGUGCCAGCAGCCGCAGUAA
rnacentral:rRNA from 1 species